rnacentral:lncRNA from 1 species
UACAACUAUGGGAUCUAGGUCCAUCAAUUGGAUACAUCUGUUCUAAAUUUGUUUAGAAUCUUAUGUAGGAGGAAGAAUAUUUCACUCCAAAAUAUGACUGUAGGAGAAUAGAAUGUGUACCCAAAUAUGCCUCUUUAGCAUAAGAAUCAUUUUGAGCUGCUUAUUUUGGGAGACAGUACACACAGGAGAAGCUCUGAAAACAGAGUAGAAGUGACCAGGCACGGUGACUCACGCCUGUAAUCCCAGCACUUUGGGAGGCUGAGGUGGGCGGAUCACUAGGUCAGGAGGUUGAGACCACCCUGGCCAACAUGGUGAAACGCCAUCUCUACUAAAAAUACAAAUAUUAGUCAGGCAUGGUGGUGGGCGCCUGUAGUUGCAGUUACUCAGGAGGCUGAGGCAAGAGAAUCGCUUGAACCUGGAAGGCAGAGAGGUUGAGUGAGCCAGUAUCGCGCCACUGCACUUCAGCUUGGCAACAGAACGAGACUUUGUCUCAAAAUAAUAGGUAAAUCAAUAAAACCAGGGCAGAAGUCACCCUCUUGUAAGAGAAAUUUAUGUCUAUAAAGGAAAUCUCCAUCAUAAGGGUGUCUCCUCUCUGUACCAGAAAGAGGAUGAAUCUAAGUUACCAAAAACUCUUAUCAAUACAGAAGGCAACUUAAACACAGCAGUCCCUUCCAACCAAGAGCUCAAGAAGGGUAAACGAAAAAUUAAUUUUUUCCUCUCCUACGCUAGUGAUGGUGCACAGAGUCCAUCUGGCAAGGAUAAAGGCAGAGACAUUCUGUUCAUUAAAGCAGCAGUGAUAGGGCCAGCUCUGGUGGCUGUCCCCAGUGGGGGGCAAUGAUGGCUUCGCUGAGCAGCUCUGCAGCACAGGCUGGGGCAUCAUUCCUGUCCUCCAGCCUCUGUUCCUUUGUCUCUGGGCCUCCCUUGGAGCCCUUCAGCUGUUUGAUUCUUUUUGAAAUAAAAUCUUUUUACUGCUGAAAUGAGCCAGAGUGGAUUUCUUUGUCCUCAAGGAA